rnacentral:rRNA from 1 species
UGGGGAAUAUUGCGCAAUGGGCGAAAGCCUGACGCAGCGACGCCGCGUGUGGGAUGACGGCCUUCGGGUUGUAAACCACUGUCGGGAGGGACGAAUGCGCCGCAAGGCGAGUGAUGGUACCUCCAAAGGAAGCACCGGCUAACUCCGUGCCAGCAGCCGCGGUAAUACGGAGGGUGCGAGCGUUGUCCGGAAUCACUGGGCGUAAAGGGCGCGUAGGCGGCCUGAUAAGUAGGGGGUGAAAUCCUGCGGCUUAACCGCAGGGCUGCCUUCUAAACUGUCAGGCUCGAGCACAGUAGAGGCAGGUGGAAUUCCCGGUGUAGCGGUGGAAUGCGUAGAGAUCGGAAGGAACAAUCAGUGGCGGAAGGCGGCCGUGCUGGGCGUGUUGCUGACGCUGAGGCGCGACAGCGUGGGGAGGCAAACAAGGAUUAGAUACCCUGGUAGUCCACGCCGUAAACGAUGGCGACUAGGCGUCGGGGGA